rnacentral:rRNA from 1 species
AGAGUUUGAUCCUGGCUCAGAACGAACGCUGGCGGCGUGGAUAAGACAUGCAAGUCGAACGGGAUUAGUUUUGUAGCAAUACAAAGCUGGUCCAGUGGCGAACGGGUGCGUAACACGUGACCAACUUUCCCAGAAGUGGGGGAUAGCUCGCCGAAAGGCGAAUUAAUACCGCAUACGCUCGUAAGAGCAAAGCAGCAAUGCGCUUUUGGAUGGGGUCGCGGCCUAUCAGCUAGUUGGUGAGGUAACGGCUCACCAAGGCAUCGACGGGUAGCUGGUCUGAGAGGACGACCAGCCACACUGGAACUGAGACACGGUCCAGACACCUACGGGUGGCAGCAGUCGAGAAUUUUUCUCAAUGGGGGAAACCCUGAAGGAGCGACGCCGCGUGGAGGAUGAAGGCUUUCGGGUUGUAAACUCCUGUCAUUUGGGAACAAGGCCCGCAAGGGAUUGAUAGUACCAGAAGAGGAAGAGACGGCUAACUCUGUGCCAGCAGCCGCGGUAAUACAGAGGUCUCAAGCGUUGUUCGGAUUCAUUGGGCGUAAAGGGCGCGUAGGCGGCGAGGUAAGUCUGGUGUGAAAUCUCGAAGCUCAACUUCGAGACUGCACUGGAUACUGCUUUGCUUGAGGACUGGAGAGGAGAUUGGAAUUCACGGUGUAGCAGUGAAAUGCGUAGAGAUCGUGAGGAAGACCGGUGGCGAAGGCGGAUCUCUGGACAGUUCCUGACGCUGAGGCGCGAAGGCCAGGGGAGCAAACGGGAUUAGAUACCCCGGUAGUCC